rnacentral:rRNA from 1 species
AUUGAACGCUGGCGGCAGGCCUAACACAUGCAAGUCGAACGAGUGGCGGACGGGUGAGUAAUGUCUGGGAAACUGCCUGAUGGAGGGGGAUAACUACUGGAAACGGUAGCUAAUCCCGCAUACCAUCAGAUGUGCCAAGAUGGGAUUAGCUUGUGGGUGGGGUAUCGGCUCACCAAGGCGACGAUCCCUAGCUGGUCUGAGAGGAUGACCAGCCACACUGGAACGUAGAAACGGUCCAGACUCCUACGUGAGGCAGCAGUGGGGAAUAUUGCACAAUGGGCGCAAGCCUGAUAGAGCCAGGCCGCGUGUAGGAAGAAGGCCUUCGGGUUGUAAAGUACUGUCAGCAGGGAGGCGUUACCCACAGAAGAAGCACCGGCUAACUCCGUGCCAGCAGCCGCGGUAAUUC